CUUCAACUGUCCAUUAAUCUGCUCUAUGAUGAACACCAGGUCCUCUGGCAGUUUGAGAUUAUACUUCUCCAUGUCCACCUUCAAGUUGUUCUCCUUGACCAUGUAUUUAAACAUGUCCACACUGGCCUUCUCAUGCU